rnacentral:rRNA from 1 species
AACGUAGGAAGCAAGCGUUAUCCGGAGUUACUGGGCGUAAAGCGCGGGCAGGCGGCUCGGCAAAUCGGUCGUGGAAUCUCGACGCUUACCGUCGAAACGGCGGCCGAAAAUACCGGGCUCGAGGGCGUGAGGGGUCACUGGAACUCCUGGUGAAGCGGUGAAAUGCGUAGAUAUCAGGAGGAACGCCGGAGGCGAAAGCGAGUGACUGGCGCGUUCCUGACGCUGAGGUGCGAAAGCUAGGGGAGCAAACAGG